rnacentral:misc_RNA from 1 species
GUUGGAAUGCCUUAAGGUACUGAAAUUGAAAGAGAAUGCAUUCACAGGGAAGAAGUGGAAGCCCAAGAAAGGAAGUUUUAGCAAGCUCCAAGUCCUGCACAUUGUCUGGGCAGGAGAGUGGGAAACUUGGGAUGCAUCAAAUCGUCCGUUCCAAAGUCUUACGCACCUUGUUCUUAUUUCCUGUUAUGAUCUCAAGGCUGUGCCACACGAGCUGGCUGACUUACCUUAUCUGCAAGAGAUGAA